GGGCAAUUUAUGAAGAAAAUAAAUUAUUUCUCACAGUUCUUGAGGCUGGAAAGUCCAGGAGCAUGACGUGGAAGGUCAUUUAAUGGAGGAAGGCAUCAUGUGAAGAGAAUAAAGGAGGCUGAGGAAAUUUCUCAGUUCCCAAAGAAGCCAUGUUCUGCGUUGCUCUCCUCACAUUUGGAAAAGGACAAUGGAAAAGAAAGGUACUCUCAGAGGAUUAAAUAAAGAUUCAUAGAGAAUAAUGAAUUGGAGCCUGUUGUGGGAAGUGGAACUUGGGUUCCAUCAAUACACAUUACCAAUCUUUAAGGAAAACCCUCUAUGAUUAGUGUUUGAUGAUCUGUCUGUGGAUCUGCCGGCAGCCUUGUGACUUGCAUUCUCUUUAAGAUUUC